rnacentral:lncRNA from 1 species
CACUCCUCCAUCGUAUGUCCCCAUGGUAUUCUUCUACCCCAUUACUGGCCCUGCAGUCUUCAAUCUUCAAACCCUAGCUGACUUAAGACAUGCCCUUUCCGAGACUCUCACUUUGUACUAUCCACUCUCUGGAAGGGUCAAAAACAACCUAUACAUCGAUGAUUUUGAAGCCGGUAUCCCAUACCUUGAGGCCCGAGUGAAAUGUGACAUGACUCAUUUUCUAAGGCUUCCAAAAAUCGAGUGCCUAAAUGAGUUUGUUCCAAUAAAACCAUAUAGUAUGGAAGCAAUAUCUGAUGAGCUUUACCCCUUGCUUGGAGUUCAAGUCAACAUUUUCGAUUCUGGGAUAGCAAUAGGUGUCUCCGUCUGUCACAAGCUCAUCGAUGGCCGAACGUCAUACUGUUUUCUCAAGUCCUGGGGUGCUGUUUUUCGUGGGUGUCGUGAUGAAAUCAUACAUCCUAAUCUCUCUCAAGCAGCAUUGCUUUUCCCACCGAGAGAUGACCUGCCUGAAAAGUAUAUAGCUUUGAUGGAAGGGUGGUCGAUUGCCGUAAAGAAAGUUGCUACAAGGAGAUUUGUAUUUGGUGCGAAAGCCAUAUCUGCAAUUCAAGAUGAAGCGAAGAGCGAGUCCGUGCCCAAGCCAUCACGAGUUCAGGCCGUCUCUGGUUUUCUCUUGAAACAUCUUCUCUCUGCUUCUCGGGCAUCAUCAUCAGGUAAAUCAGUUUAUGUGUCUUCUUAAAAGUGCACCACAUGCAAUUGCGUGAUUGGCAAAGGAGGGCUAGGCGUGAUUAAUUAAGCUAGAGAAGACAAGGUUUUUCCAUUAAUUGUUAGUGAGGCUUGCUCAAAUGCGAGCGUACAAGAGUUUUCAGUAGCUUUAUUUCUGCUGCUUAGGUUAUACCGGAUUUGUUUUGUAAGUUAGAAAAAUACAACUUAUUGGAUAUUGUUAUAAGCAUCUAAUUAAUGAUAUGAAUGAAAAAGAAAAAAGAUCGUACACUUAACAUUUUUCUGCUAUUAUUUCAUACUUAUUUUAUAUUUUUGUAUUACAUAUACUGUACAUAGCUUAAAAAUGAGAAAAUAUAUGAACUUUUGCAGGUACUACUUCAACAAAACUUUCUAUAGCAGCUCAGGUAGUGAACUUAAGAUCACAGAUGAACAUGGAGACAACGUUGGGUAAUGCCAUUGGAAACCUGAUGUGGUGGGCUCCGGCCAUACUAGAGUUAAAUCAUAAAGCACGAGAGAGCAGCGAUCCUAAGCUGUGUGACUUGGUUAUCUUGCUCAAUGAAUCUGUCAAACAAUCUAACAGUGAUUACUUCGACACUUUCAAGGGUAAAGAGGGAUAUGGAAGAAUGUGUGAGCAUCUAGAUAUGGAGGGGACUGUAAGUUCUGUAGAACCAGCACCAGAGAUAUAUUCAUUCUCGAGCUGGACUAGAUUUUUCGACCAAAUUGAUUUUGGAUGCAUGGGGGAGGUCAUCUUGGAUUGGAGUUACCGGAAAACAAUCUGCAUAUUGGAAUUCCACAGUUUUAGUACCAACACAAUGUGAUACUGGAAUUGAAGCGUGGGUGAAUCUAGAUGAAGAGAAAAUGGCUAUGCUAGAACAAGAUCCCCAGUUUCUAGCAUUAGCAUCUCCAAAGACCCUAAUUUCAAGGUAUUGAUUAUGAAAGAUUAUGUGGCUCGUGCAAUGUUUCCAUUUGCAGUGAAUAAGGAUUAAAUUAGUUCCCCGGCCAAUUAAUAAGAAGCAAGGUAUGAUAGACUAUGGCUACGUAUGUUAGUAUGUUAUCCGAAUGUGCUUCGUUAUGCUUUUAACCAAUAUAGCUCUGUUUUGUAACAAUGCUCUAUUGAGCUUCUAACUAUAGAGUUAUUUUUCUUGAUUAGAAAAAGAAACUAUGCAAGUUUUGUUUUGUUAAGCUAUUCUGUUUCUAAAAGAAAGGCUAUUCUGUUUCUAAAACGGGAUGCAUGUAUUACCUAAAAAGAUGAUUCACCUAUAAUUAUUUUUCAAGUAAAUGAUUAUUUGAUAGCAAUCACGCCGUGUAUUUCUAUAGCUAAAAUUGUAAUUUAGAUCAGUGACAACAUGAUUAAAAGUUACAUAUUCUGAUACAUUUGUUAUUUAACGACAAGUGUGGCCAUAAUGCCUCACCUAGUCACCUAAUGCGAAGACCUCUACGAGAGACUAAUGUCGUCUGAUCUUCUUUUCUUAAUCAAAAGAAACGAAAAUGGCCACAAUGCCUCACUAUUCAUAGAACCAUACAAUAAUUUGGAACAUAUGCAUGGAUGCAAAGAAAAAUAACACAAGAACCAUCAUAAUUUCACAUUAUAUGAGAAACUUAGCCAAAUCCGAAUCACAUCCAUGUUGGCCAAGAGUGACUAAAGAAGACCACCCAGAAAGCUAGAAAACCAUAAAAUCCAGAAAACUUGAAUAAGCUAGGGAAAAAACAAAAAUGUGACAUUCCAUUUCUUCUUGCGGUUUUGUUAGGCCAAAUCAAAAUCUCAAUGACCCUGCAAUCAUUUACACACACUCUUUCUCAAUCUCUGCAAAACUGACUGCUUCCCCUGAAAACUUGCGCAAUAGGGUACCUAGCUCUCUGGCCUUUUCUUUCUAAUGCACAAUUUAUGGCUUUUGGUAAUGAUGAUUUUAUGCUUGUGGAUCUCAGAUGGGUUUGUUUUGUUUUGGGAUUUUUAUAAAUGAAUGCAUUGAAAAUGUUGAAAGCUUAUGCCUUUGUUCCUUGGUUCAGUGUUCUGGUUUUGUGUACGUACGAGAGUUGAAAUGUGAUCUCUAGUAUCGGUAAAGAGAAAUGUUCUAACCAUGCUAGUGUUAGUAAUUUAUCUUCUAAAGUUGUUUGAGUACUUUACUCUCUUACUUUACUAACUAAGCAUAGGAAAUAACGACCUAAACUACCUGAUUUUCGUUAGUGCUUGUAAACACGAAAAUUCCUGUAACGAAUAACAGAAAGACAUGUGUACAAAAUAAUAUAUUUGUAUUGAUUGAAUUUGCGGGUUACAAUCUCUAUGGGUAUUCUUUUAACAAGAAUGUCCUCUGAUUCGAUCUCCGAUGUUGAUUUGAUCCAAGGGUGACAAGCACUUGAUCUUGAAUUGAACUGUUGUAGUUUGAACUUCUUAUUGUGUUGACGAUUUGUAGAAGGAAGUUGACCAAGGGCCAUAGAGGCUUGAUCUUGGUCGAAUAUGGGCCGCGAGAGGUGUCACGUGGUGAACGUUCUUCGACUUGAUAGCGGAUGAAUCGGCACGUGUGUUUGGUACUUGUUGAUUCUCCACGAGGUUGUUGAAGAACUUGGUAGAAGUUUUGAUUUGUUGAAAGACUUGAAGACGAGGGUUGAUCAAGGGCCGUAGAGGCUUGACGUUGAUCGAGUUUGGGCCGAGCAGUUCCACAUGGUGGUUGCUCUUCGUCUUGUAGUUGGUGAAGAUGUCAGCUAUUUGGCAACUUGGGACUCUUCGGGAUUUGACAACCUAUAGGCUUGAGGUUGAUGAAGAAUCAACUAUUUGGCAGCUUGAUGAUUCUUCAAGGGUUUUGGGAGAAUUCUAAACUCUCGGGAGUAAUUUUUCUCUCUUGUCUGAAAGUCGUCCUCUUGAUAUGAGAGGGGGUAUUUAUAGUGUUAAUGCUCCUCCGUAAAUGGAAUGCAUUGAAGUCACAGCUUUAAUUAUAUUUCCUUAAUGAUAUAAUUAAAUCAAUCACUUUUGAUUGAUUGAUUCAAUUAUUCAAUUUCCCAUAAUUAAAUCAAUCAGUCUUAAUUGAUCGAUUUAGUUAUGAUCGAUAAGGUAUUUCACUAAUUUGAUUAAAUUCCGACUUCCUUUUCGAUAAUUGAUUUGAUUUGAUUGAUGUUUGAUUAUCGAUUGACAUUUAAUAUUUUAUUUUAGUUGGGAUUGAUGAUUUUGUUGUCGACCGACCAUUCACACGCCGCCACGUGUUAUUUUCGAAGACUUUUCAACUUUGCUGACUCACGAGCCACGUAUGCACGAGACUUUUCAACGUCUCUAAUUUACAUAGUAAUUGACGCAAUUUGGCCGAACUGUUUCUAAACACACUAAGCUUCAGUUCUAUAUAUACCGCGUACCACAUGUUUCAUCAAGUGUCAGAUAAUACAGAACCUACUUCGCCAAAAUGGAGAAAAUUGAGGUCAGUAUAAUUUCCAAACACACCAUCAAACCAUCAACUUCCUCUUCACCACUUCAGCCUUACAAGCUUACCCUGCUCGACCAGCUCACUCCUCCAUCGUAUGUCCCCAUGGUAUUCUUCUACCCCAUUACUGGCCCUGCAGUCUUCAAUCUUCAAACCCUAGCUGACUUAAGACAUGCCCUUUCCGAGACUCUCACUUUGUACUAUCCACUCUCUGGAAGGGUCAAAAACAACCUAUACAUCGAUGAUUUUGAAGAGGGUGUCCCAUACCUUGAGGCUCGAGUGAACUGUGACAUGAAUGAUUUUCUAAGGCUUCCGAAAAUCGAGUGCCUAAAUGAGUUUGUUCCAAUAAAACCAUUUAGUAUGGAAGCAAUAUCUGAUGAGCGUUACCCUUUGCUCGGAGUUCAAGUUAACAUUUUCAACUCCGGAAUAGCAAUCGGGGUCUCCGUCUCUCACAAGCUCAUCGAUGGAAGAACUUCAGACUGUUUUCUCAAGUCGUGGUGUGCUGUUUUUCGUGGUUCUCGUGACAAAAUCAUACAUCCUAAUCUCUCUCAAGCAGCAUUGCUUUUCCCACCAAGAGAUGACUUGCCUGAAAAGUAUGCCCGUCAGAUGGAAGGGUUAUGGUUUGUCGGAAAAAAAGUUGCUACAAGGAGAUUUGUAUUUGGUGCGAAAGCCAUAUCUGUAAUUCAAGAUGAAGCAAAGAGCGAGUCCGUGCCCAAGCCAUCACGAGUUCAGGCUGUCACUAGUUUUCUCUGGAAACAUCUAAUCGCUACUUCUCGAGCACUAACAUCAGGUAUGUAAAAUCAGUUUAGCAACAAGCCAAAUACUAAAGCAACUAAAUAAAAACCUAUUGUAUUUGGGGUAGUCCCUUAUUAGCUGUUGUCCUAAACUUCUAACGAUAUGAACUUUUUUCUCAAAAGAAAAAAAUAGUACACUUAACAUUUUCUGUUAUAAUUUCAUACUUAUUUAUAUAUUUUUAUUACAUACAUAGCUCAAAGAAUGAGAAAAUAUAUGAACCUGCAGGUACUACUUCAACAAGACUUUCUAUAGCAACCCAGGUAGUGAACAUAAGAUCACGGAGGAACAUGGAGACAGUGUGGGAUAAUGCCAUUGGAAACUUGAUAUGGUUCGCUCCGGCCAUACUAGAGCUAAGUCAUACAACACUAGAGAUCAGUGAUCUUAAGCUGUGUGACUUGGUUAACUUGCUCAAUGGAUCUGUCAAACAAUGUAACGGUGAUUACUUUGAGACUUUCAUGGGUAAAGAGGGAUAUGGAAGCAUGUGCGAGUAUCUAGAUUUUCAGAGGACUAUGAGUUCUAUGGAACCAGCACCAGAGAUUUAUUUAUUCACGAGCUGGACUAAUUUUUUCAACCAACUUGAUUUUGGAUGGGGGAGGACAUCAUGGAUUGGAGUUGCAGGAAAAAUUGAAUCUGCAUUUUGCAAUCUCAUAACAUUAGUUCCAACACCAUGC